CACCAGCGCCACGAGUGGUGACCACUAUUAUUGGGUUUAAAGAGUCCGUAGCUGACUUAAUAACUCUCUUGCGAAAUUGUUAAACUUAAUUUAGCAUCGUGCAAGGGAAACUAUUAGGAUUGGGACCGGGAAAAGAUAGGAGUAUUCCUUGGGGAGCGGUAAAAUGCUAUAAUCCUUGGAAGACUACCAAUGGCGAAGGCACCUAUCUUGAACGGGUCUGACAGUGAGGGACGAAAGCUAAGGUCGAGACUCGGAUUAGAUACCCCCGUA
rnacentral:rRNA from 1 species